rnacentral:rRNA from 1 species
AAGGAUCAUUAUUGUACAACGGAGGUGCAAAGGCUGUCGCUGACCCUCAAAGGUCGUGCACGCCCGAGCACGCUCUCACACAAUCCAUCUCACCCCUUUGUGCAUCACCGCGUGGGUCCCCCCCUUUGUGGGGGGGGGGCUUGCGUUUUCACAUAAAACUCGAUACAGUGUAGAAUGUUCUUUUUUGCGGUCACACGCAAUCAAUACAACUUUCAACAACGGAUCUCUUGGCUCUCGCAUCGAUGAAGAACGCAGCGAAAUGCGAUACGUAAUGUGAAUUGCAGAAUUCAGUGAAUCAUCGAAUCUUUGAACGCACCUUGCGCCCCUUGGCAUUCCGAGGGGCACACCCGUUUGAGUGUCGUGAAAUUCUCAAAAACCCUUUCCUUUGAUCGGAUUUUUGGACUUGGAGGUUCAAUGCUCGCCUUCAGCUUUUGAAAGCGAGCUCCUCUCAAAUACAUUAGUGGGGUCCGCUUUGCUGGUCCUUGACGUGAUAAGAUGUUUCUACGUUUUGGAUUUGGCACUGUCCCUUUGGAUCCUGCUUCCAACUCGUCCGUCUCACGGACAACGAUGGUGCUCCGGUCACCGCCAUUUACAUCGGCGGGAGGCUGGACCCACAAAAACGAACCUUGACCUCAAAUCGGGUGAGACUACCCGCUGAACUUAA